rnacentral:tRNA from 1 species
GCCUGUGGGCAACUCGGGACGGCAGUGCCCCCGGGUUUUGUAAACCGAAGGUCGCGGGUUCGAUUCCUGCAACCGGCACCA